rnacentral:tRNA from 1 species
GGGUCCAUAGUUUAGAGGUAGAAUUUCCCUCUCCAAAAGGGAAGACCGAGGUUCGAUUCCUCGUGGGCCCGCCU